AUUGAACGCUGGCGGAAUGCUUUACACAUGCAAGUCGAACGGUAACAGGUCUUCGGAUGCUGACGAGUGGCGAAUGGGUGAGUAAUAUAUCGGAACGUGCCCAGUCGUGGGGGAUAACGUAGCGAAAGUUACGCUAAUACCGCAUACGAUCUAAGGAUGAAAGCGGGGGAUCGCAAGACCUCGCGCGAUUGGAGCGGCCGAUAUCAGAUUAGGUAGUUGGUGGGGUAAAGGCUCACCAAGCCAACGAUCUGUAGCUGGUCUGAGAGGACGACCAGCCACACUGGAACUGAGACACGGUCCAGACUCCUACGGGAGGCAGCAGUGGGGAAUUUUGGACAAUGGACGCAAGUCUGAUCCAGCCAUGCCGCGUGCGGGAAGAAGGCCUCGGUGUAACCGCUGUCAGAGGGGAGU
rnacentral:rRNA from 1 species